UACGUAGGGGGCAAGCGUUGUCCGGAAUCAUUGGGCGUAAAGCGCGUGUAGGCGGCUCGAUAAGUCUGCUGUGAAAGUUCAGGGCUCAACCCUGAAAUGCCGGUGGAAACUGUCGAGCUAGAGUCCGGAAGAGGCGAGUGGAAUUCCUGGUGUAGCGGUGAAAUGCGCAGAUAUCAGGAGGAACACCAAUGGCGAAGGCAGCACUCUGGGACGGUACUGACGCUGAGACGCGAAAGCGUGGGGAGCAAACAGG
rnacentral:rRNA from 1 species